UGGUGGAAUUUGAUAGGUUAACCUUUAAGAGUGGAAACAGUUUGUACUGCAGAAUACGUUAAUGUCAACACCCUGACUUGAGUUUCAAAGUUUAAAACAGUGCUGUCAAAGUGACAUUAUUUCAAAUUGUGUUAUUUAUUAAAGAUAAGUUUAACCAGGGGCCAGAAUAUCAACACUCAGCCAUAGAUACUUGAAUUAUUUGCUGAUUAAUUAUUUAAAAUACUAAAAAAAAAAAAACCCCAAACAAAACAAACAAACAAAAAACAUUAAAAUAUGGACCUUUUCAUUUUCAUUUUUUAGUAAAAACGAACGUUUAGAAAACAGACCACAUGUCAGAGCUCAUUUACCACUGGCAAUGAUGUGUCUGAUGCAAGAUCUAAAGCAACACCGAUUUAUGCAUUUAAAACAAUUAUGAUAAGAUUUAAAAACAUGUAAGAUACCCGAGAACUGUCAUAUUUACGUGUGUAUGUAUAUAUUGGGCAGUUAAACCAACCAACCGACCCCAAACUGGAUCUUGGCAUCGGUGCUUCUUUGCAGUUUCAUCACUUUCAUCGUUAUCUAUGACACCCAAUCAAACCCCGCUGAACUUCAAGCGGUGAGAAAAACAACGACGCAUCGACAAAUCAUGUGAAACUUCUGAAGUCGCGUGGGACACGAAGAGGACGCCGAGCACUUAUUCACCUAGUUGUCUCCUUAAAUAACUUUGUUUCUAGUUUCACUGGUAGUUUUAUUUUAUUUAUUUUUUCAACUUUAGGCCAAAAUGACGAAAAUUCUGUUUGCCCAAAGCGUUUUCAAAUCUUUGAGACGGUGUCGUCUUUUUGGCACCACAGUGGGGCACGAGUCGAACUGGCUGGGAUUUCAAACCGUCAAACUUUUUAGUGUAAAGGCCCAGACUGCUCACCUGGUCUUGGAGGAUGGAACCAGAAUAAAAGGAUUUUCUUUUGGGCACAAUGGCUCCAUUGCAGGGGAGCUGGUCUUCAACACCGGCCUGGUGGGGUAUCCAGAGGCCCUGACUGACCCCAGUUACAGAGGUCAGAUACUGACUCUGACCUACCCGAUAGUGGGCAAUUAUGGAGUGCCCAACACCCAGGAGUUAGAUGAGCUGGGCCUGAGGAAGCAUGUGGAGUCAGAGCGAAUCCAGGUGUCUGGCCUUUUAGUUCAAGCGUACAGCCAUGAAUACAGCCACUGGAACUCUGUCAAGUCUCUGGGUCAGUGGCUCCAAGAAGAGAAGGUUCCUGCUUUGUUCGGCAUAGACACCAGAAUGUUGACCAAGGUCAUCAGAGACAAGGGCACAGUUUUGGGGAAGAUUGAAUUUGAUGGACAACCUGUUGACAUAUGUGACCCCAAUAAAAAAAACCUGGUCGCAGAGGUGUCCACUACGGAAACCAAAGUGUUUGGCAGAGGAAACCCAAUCAAAGUAGUAGCAGUUGACUGUGGCAUUAAACACAACAUCAUUCGCCUCUUGGUGAAGAGAGGUGCAGAGGUUCACCUUGUUCCAUGGGACCAAGACUUGCUGAGUCUAGAUUAUGAUGGCCUCUUCAUCUCCAAUGGACCCGGAGACCCAUCGCUGGCCAGGAGCCUCAUUGACAAUGUUCAGAAGGUUCUGCAAAGUGAUCGUCCCCAGCCGGUUUUUGGGAUCUGUAUGGGAAACCAGAUCACUGCUUUGGCUGCAGGAGCAAAAUCGUAUAAACUACCAAUGGGGAACAGAGGCCAGAACCAGCCAGUUGUGAAUAUAAUGACAGGCCAGGCAUUCAUUACGGCACAGAACCACGGCUACGGCAUCGACAGCAAGUCCCUGCCCCCUGGGUGGAGCCCCCUGUUUGUUAACGCCAAUGAUGGCACCAAUGAGGGCAUUAUGCACUCCACUAAACCUGUUUUCACAGCUCAGUUCCACCCUGAGGCUAAAGGCGGUCCCACAGACACAGAGUUUCUCUUUGACACCUUCAUGUCAUUGAUCAAGAAAGGAAAGGAUACCAACCUGGCGUCAGUCAUGCCCAAGAAGCCCUCCUUACCCCCAAGAGCUCAGGUGUCAAAGGUGUUGGUCCUGGGCUCCGGUGGACUUUCCAUUGGUCAGGCUGGAGAGUUUGACUACUCAGGCUCUCAGGCCGUUAAGGCUAUGAAGGAGGAGAAUCUGAAGACGGUGCUCAUGAACCCCAACAUAGCAUCAGUUCAGACUAAUGAGGUGGGCACCAAACAGGCCGACUCUGUCUACUUCCUGCCUGUCACACCUCAGUUUGUAACUGAGGUGAUCAAGGCCGAGCGUCCAGAUGGCAUCCUGCUCUCUAUGGGGGGACAGACUGCACUCAACUGUGGAGUUGAACUGUUUCAACAUGGCGUCCUGGACAAGUAUGGAGUAAAAGUGCUUGGAACACCAGUGGAGUCCAUCAUGGCCACCGAGGACAGGCAGCUUUUUGCUGACAAACUGAUGGAAAUUAAUGAGAAGAUCGCCCCCAGUUUUGCUGUUGACUCUGUGUGUGACGCUUUAAAAGCAGCAGAGAAAAUUGGCUACCCCGUGAUGCUACGAUCAGCCUAUGCCCUGGGAGGCCUCGGCUCGGGUCUUUGUGACAACAAAGAAAAACUGGAGGAAACCGCUCACAAGGCUCUGGCCUUGAGCAGUCAGAUCUUGGUGGAGAAGUCGUUGCUGGGCUGGAAGGAGGUUGAAUAUGAGGUUGUCAGGGACGUCGCUGACAACUGCGUCACAGUUUGCAAUAUGGAGAACUUCGACCCACUGGGCAUUCAUACAGGUGACUCAAUAGUAGUGGCACCGAGUCAGACGCUGUCCAAUGAGGAAUAUCACAUGCUCCGAGAGACGGCCAUCAAAGUGGUCCGACACCUCGGCAUCAUAGGUGAAUGCAACAUCCAGUACGCGCUCCACCCAGCUUCCUUGGAGUACUGUAUAAUCGAAGUAAAUGCUCGACUCUCCAGAAGCUCAGCUCUCGCAUCCAAAGCCACAGGAUAUCCAUUAGCCUUUGUAGCUGCCAAGCUAGCUCUGGGAAUUCCCCUACCCGAGAUCAAAAACGCUGUGUCAGAGAAGACCACGGCCUGCUUUGAGCCCAGUCUGGACUACAUUGUGACCAAGAUCCCCCGCUGGGACUUGGACCGCUUUCAGGGCAUAUCCUCUGAAAUAGGCAGCGCCAUGAAGGGCGUCGGAGAGGUGAUGGCAGUGGGUCGAACCUUUGAGGAGAGUGUGCAAAAAGCCCUCAGGAUGUGUCACCCGUCUGUGGAUGGCUUCGUGCCCCGGCUGCCACUCAAGAAAGCCUGGACCAACACACAGAGUCUGCAACAGGAGUUGGCUGUGCCCUCCAGCACCCGAAUAUUCUCCAUCGCCAAGGCACUCCACAGUGGUGUGAGUGUGGAUCAAAUCCAUCAGCUGACGGCCAUCGACAAGUGGUUUCUUCACAAACUGAACAGAAUCGUCCAAUUGGAGCAGCACUUGGCCAAUUAUAAGAGGUAUACGGUACCUGAAGACUUGCUACUCCAGGUAAAGCAGGAUGGUUUCUCAGACCGACAGGUUGGUCAGAUUCUGGGUUCUAGUGAGAGCGCGGUCAGAGAACUGAGGCUAAAACAUGGUAUCAAACCGUGGGUAAAACAGAUUGACACCUUGGCGGCCGAGUACCCAGCAAAGACCAACUACCUUUAUUGCACCUACAAUGGUCAGGAGCACGACCUGGACUUCAAAGACCAAAGCAUUAUGGUUCUGGGUUGUGGGCCCUACCACAUUGGCAGCAGUGUUGAGUUUGACUGGUGUGCUGUGUCAAGCAUCAGGGCCCUGAGACAGAUGGGCAUGAAGACAGUGGUGGUGAACCACAACCCUGAGACGGUCAGCACGGACUUUGAUGAGUGCGACCGUCUUUAUUUUGAAGAGCUGACCCUGGAACGAAUCCUGGACAUCACCCAACAAGAGGGUUGCUCAGGCAGCAUCGUGUCCGUCGGAGGACAGAUUCCAAACAAUCUGGCUGUACCUUUGCACAUGAAUGGUGUGAAGAUUCUUGGGACAAGCCCUUUACAGAUCGACCGGGCUGAGGAGCGCUCCAUCUUCUCCAGUGUCCUGGAUGAUCUUGGUGUGGCCCAAGCCCCAUGGAAAGCUCUAAGUUCUCUGGAAGAUGCCUUUGUGUUUGCUAACCAGGUUGGUUACCCCUGUCUGCUACGACCCUCCUACGUCCUCAGUGGCUCUGCCAUGAACGUUGUGUACGGAGAAGAAGAGAUGAAACGUUUCUUGGAGGAGGCCACUCAGGUGUCACAGGAACAUCCAGUGGUUAUCACCAAGUUCAUCCGUGGUGCCAGGGAGGUGGAGGUGGACGCUGUGGCCAAAGCUGGGAAGGUGCUCGUCCACGCUAUAACAGAGCAUGUUGAAGACGCCGGGGUUCACUCCGGUGAUGCCACACUAAUGCUGCCAACUCAGACUAUCAGCCAGGGUGCAUUGGAAAAGGUGAAGAUUUCCACUCGCAAAAUUGCACAAGCGUUUGAAAUUUCUGGGCCUUUUAACACUCAGUUUCUGGUAAAAGGCAAUGACGUUAUGGUGAUCGAGUGUAACCUGCGGGCAUCACGUUCUUUUCCUUUUGUGUCAAAAACAAUUGGUGUGGACUUCAUCAAUGUGGCGACCAAAGUGAUGGUGGGAGAGCCUUUGGACGAGGCGAGCCUGCCUUCGCUGGAGCAACCCAUCAUUCCUGUAGACUACGUGGGCAUCAAGGCACCUAUGUUCUCCUGGCCUCGGCUGAGGGAUGCAGACCCAGUGCUUCGCUGUGAGAUGGCUUCCACCGGAGAAGUAGCCUGUUUUGGACCAAACAUUUAUUCAGCCUUCCUGAAAGCUAUGCUCUCCACAGGCUUCAAGCUGCCACAGAAGGGAAUUCUGAUUGGGAUUCAGCACUCAUUCCGACCCCAUUUCCUGGCCACAGCACAUCAGCUGAAAGAGGAAGGCUUCAAGCUCUAUGCCACUGAAGCUACUUCUGCCUGGCUCUGUGCCAAUGACGUUCCUGCCACUACAGUCGCCUGGCCCACGGAGAAGAAAGAAGAUGCCAAUUUGCCCAGUAUUAAGAGGCUAAUAAACGAGGGUCAUAUUGACCUGGUGGUCAAUUUGCCCAAUAACAACACUCGCCACUUAAAGGAUAACUUCCUCAUCCGCAGGAUGGCAAUUGACCACGGUGUCCCCCUCAUCACUAAUGACCAGGUGGUGAAGCUGUUUGCAGAAGCUAUUCACUAUGCAGGUGAUCUCGACACCACCAGCCUCUUCCACUACCGCCGAAAAGAAGGACAACAAAGAGGCAGCAACCUGCAGAGCAGCAGCCAACCUCCGUCACGCCCCUGCUCCAUUUAAACAGCAGAAUUCAGUGAGGCAAUAUAAAUUCUGAAAUCUUCUCUGCAUCUCCUUACCUCAGUUUCUACCUGAAAUAUGGUGAUGAUGACUUAAAGGCACAAGUCUUUGGCUGUGUGCUUAGACCAAAAGAUACAAAGUAAUUUUUAUAAAUACUGGGUAGUCCUUCCUUCCUUCCUUCCUUCCUUCCUUCCUUCCUUCCUCCUUCAGCAAUCUGAUCCUGUUUAGUGGGAAAUUGAAGAUAGAGCUUUCUUUAUUUUUUUUUUAUUAUAUCCUCUUUACACUUUUACUGUCGGCUGUCGGUGGGUAAUUAAAUUAGGAAUCUUUGUGACAUUUACUCCCAGGUAAGUCAUUAAUAAUCAUAAUAAUCCUUAAUUCAUACAGUAGCCAUCAGUGUUGGAAAAUAUAUAUAUAUGUAAGUGUGAGAACCUCAGUAUGACUGUAAUACUGUGAUAAAAGGAUAGUACUUCCGUAAAAGCUAACAGACCAGUCUUUAUAAGUAAACAUUUCACUUUUGUAAAUUCUGAUCCUAUUUAGAGAAAAGUAGGAGCCAGAGUUACUGGCUAUUGGAUGAUCACAUUGUUCUUAUGGGGUUUUUUUUUAAUUUAAAAUAAACACCAGGAUAUAUUGGAUAAGACCUAAAAGAACCUGGUUGUUUAAAUCUCAAACUUGCAUUUAAAAAAAUAGUAUAAUAAAACUUUACAACUUUUACUGUAAGUAGAACUGAACUGAUUGCGUUUAGAGCUUUUCUGUUUGCUCGGUGUUAUAACAGCAGGACCGUAAAGCCAAAGAGGUUUUAUUAUUCUGAAUAUAAUUUAAAUAAAUAACAUAAUGGAUAUAAAUAGAUGAAGAUAAAAUAUUUAUAAGAAAAAAAACAUACUUUAUAAAGUCUCUGAAUACACGGGCCAAAAAACAUUGUAAAAAAACCCCCAGUAGUGUUGAGUAGUUGUUCCUUUUUUCUACAUUUUUCUACAUCACUCUGCAUGUUUUAUGAUGGAUGUUCACAUUUUGACUUUAUUUUUAUUUUUAAAACGUAAACCUAAAUCGUACGUUAACAUGAAUUUGAUUGAACCACAACUUGACUUGGCAACAACUCUUCACCUUCACCCUGACUUCAUUUCAUCUGCUCUCAUUCACGUGUGUUGGAAGUGUACUGUGUACUUUAUGAAUGACUUGUAGAUAAAGUAGUGAUAACGUGCCUGUCCUUGGUGGGUGUUUGCUGUGAUGAUCUGAUCUUUGUACGCCUUUCUCCGUCAGACAGUGGCACUCCAUCACAUUUAUUUGUGUUUACACGCCUCAUAAUAACAAAAUAUUCAUUGGCUGUUCACACUUCAUUUAAGGGCAUCAAUUCUCAGCUCAUCCCUGCUUCACUUUUGGGCCAACCACACACACACACACGGUACAAGACAUUAACAACACACUCACAGCCAUCGUUAGACAAUUCAUCAUUAGAACUGAGAGAAAUCCUGACGCAGCUAUGGUCGGACGGACCGCAUUAAAACAAUCCAUUAAGUUUUCUAUGUCCUUGCAAAAUUUCAUCCAUCCCGGAAAAGUCUCCAUAUUUCUGGCAGGUUCAACUAAAGCAUCAGCCUGUACUAAGGACAGACUGUGUACCUGUCUUUUCAGUAAAUCUCUUCCUUUUUAGGUUGUAUUUUAUGAUUGUAGAUUGUGUCCCCCUUGUGGCUGAAGGAUAUAUAGCAUGUCGUUUUGAUAUAUAGGUCAUUUCAGAAUAUAAAUCGCAGGAUUAGCCAAACUACAAAAGAAAAGAAAAAAGGUGACCGGACCAGUGAGGCUGUAUGGGGGGGGUGGAGGUGAGGCCCCGUGACUGAGGGGGCUGAACAUUUUAAUUUAUUAUUUUUAAAUUUUAUUUAAUUAUAAUUUUUACUGUAAAAUAUACUUUGAGACUUUUCUUGCAGUAUGUUUUAGUCUAU